GAACACCUGGAGAAGAGCCCACGGACAAGGAAAUCAGAGCUUCUCCCUGAGACCAGAAGGGCCUUGUUUGCCUUUUGCUCCAUGCCCAGAUACAGGUCUUAGUACCUUCCUCUCCUCAUUAGCUGUCCCUGAGAGUGUGCUGUUGGCUUGUCCCUCACCUCCUUAGGAAGGCUGUGGGACUAGGGUGGCUCACGUUGCCCACCUCAGGUGUUGUGGAGUCUGCAUUGCUGGAGAGGCUCAAACCCCAAGUGGACAUGAUCGUGGACAACCUGCUCUAGCUGACCCUGCUUGAGCAGGAGUCUGGACUAGGAGAUCUUGAGAGGUCCCUCCAAACCUCAACAGUUCAGUGAUUCUGUGAUCCUGGGAUGAGGUUUUGUUUGCUUGCUUUUGAAACCUGCAAAUUGUAGAAGCUAUAAAGAUAGGCAGGCUCAGGCA